ensembl:lncRNA
UUCCGUCUUUGUUUGUUGGUAUGUGUGCCUGGUGCGUCUGUUCCAUGUCUGUCCUGGUGUUGUGUUCUGGUUGUCCGGGCAACGAGGCGGGGCGGGGUGUUCCCCACCUGACAGUCAUUAUCCACUCUCACACCUGUUCCUGAUCUGCAAUCCACCACAGCAUUUAGGAGAGUGUAGUAUUUGUGGAGAUAUAAUAACACACAGACACUGCGCCAAGACAAACCCGACAACUGCACGCACCUGUUUGUCACCCUGGACCUCGGAGCCGCCCUGCACCUAGAUUCCACGCCAACCCACAGCCACUCGGCCCACCCCCCUGACACUGUUGUUAUACCUACUGCCAUGAUGAAUGAAGCCCAGUCAAUGUCAUUGUCAUUUAUGCUUGAAACCAUCUCAUAUAUAAUAAAAUAGAAAUUAAUUA